CUCAUUACUAUUUAACAAUGAAUCAUACAAUUAAAGUUUGACAAAUAUGCCUCAGUAUAUUAUCAAGCAGUUAAUCAAACUUAAUUAUACAGGUCCUGUGCGAUUUUUCUAUUGAAUGACUAAACAUUUUCAGAGAUUCUUUGUCUGAAUAAUUAACCUCAUUCUCGACUCCUCAUGUCCCUGAUAUCCCAACAGUAUAUAUCCAUCUCUGUGUUUAACCUGAAGUAUAUCCCAAUCCAAAAUAAUGCAUCUCUCAGCAAUCAAUAAAAUAAGAGUUACAAAAUACAAGCAGCCAGAAUACCUAGUCCAUGCAUCUCUCAGUCUAUAGUUAACAAUCAUGCUACCAUUUCCUGCAAACAUUUUUUGAGAACACCCAAUAAUUACUUGUAAAUUCAAGUCUAUAUCUAUUGUCAUAAUAGAUGUUAUAUACCUUAAGCUGAGCACACACAGUGACUCCAACGUACACAUUACCGGGGAAAGGUACAUUUCCUAUAUAAAUUAGGAGAAAGUUAAACUUCACUGCUUUGGAAGUAGUAUUCUCACCUAUCAGUUAUGUUAAGUUAAAGAAUAUUUAUUUCUAAAUUUGCGAUCUCUCCUAAUAAGUUAAUAAGAUACUAAUUUGAAUUAGCACCCUCUUUAGAGUAGUUCUUAUCGUGCCAGCCUGUCAUUUAUAUAGUUUUCAGUUCCACAGCAUGAUCAUGUUAUUUAAAACUAUGCAGUCUUCACUGCAAGAUUUAAGGAAUUCAAUUAUAAUUAUCAUAACUAAUAGCUAAUGGAUUAAGUUAAACCUUAUGAUCUGGUAUUAUUGGAUACUUCUAUCAUGCUACUAAAUAUUAAUUCUAUGUUAUUAAUGUGUUAAUUAUAUAAACAGUCUAUUCAAAUUGCCUACCAUAAAUCUGUCAAUAAAGUGCAUGCUAUAAUUAAGGAGUUGACCAAUCUUGCCAAUCCGUGAAAUCCUCCAGGCUAAAAAGGAAUUAAUUUCUAUGCUAUUGAUGUGUUAAAUAUAUAAACAGUUUAUUCAAAUUGCCUACUAUAAAUCUGUCAAAAAAAGAGCCUGCUAUAAUUAAGGAUUUGACCAAUCUUGCCAAUCCGUGGAAUCCUGGCUAAAAAUGAAUUAAUUUAUAUUUGAACAAUCAUGUUACUUAUUAUUAGGAAUUUUUCGCUGCAGAAUUUAAGGGAUACAAUUAUGUCUAUCAUAUCUAAUUACUAAUGGAUUAAGUUACCUUUUGGUUAGAGUAUAAUUAGCAUCUUCUAUUUGAAGAUACCAUAACUUUACCAAAUAGUUACUCGGCACUAUUAAUGUGUUAAAUUUAUAUAUAUUGUCUAUUCAGAGUUCAUACUAUAAUUUGGGAUUUCCGGAGAAUCCUCUGGGCGUAAAUUGGGAAUUAAUUUAUAUUCCUUCACGCUUUUAUAUUAAAAUCGUGUUUGUAGUUUCCAUAAAUCCUCCAGUAUACAUCACCUAUUCCUAGCACUUUGGUAAAAAUAUCAGUUACGAAUGAAAUAAUAAGUGAAAUUUCAUGGCUUUAACCAUUCGUUUACCUAAUAUUUCCAUCACCCUUCUUUUUGUCAAACUGGUUACUUUAACAUGUUUUAUAUGUCAGAGAUCUCAUCCAUCAUAUAUGAUGAUACAUUGCCUCUUAAAGGCACUAAUUUGCCAUCCAUCAUGGCCCCCAUGAGUCAUAUAACAUCAUGGCACAUUUUCCUCGAAAUAAAUUAGUCUAUACUAAUUCUAAAGAAUAAAUAUAUAUCUACAUUAGAGGCAUGUAAAAAGAGAUUCUGACUAUUUAACCUUGCUAAAUAAACAGUAAAGAAUAGAAAGCAAUCUAACCGGGUAAACUAAAUUGAAAAGAAAAUAGAAUGAGUGGAAUCUCAAAGAAAAGGUACCUGCCGAGAAUCUAAAUGGAAAAACUAUAAAUCUAUCAUGAGUAAAACAACCAUCAGCAUUCCCGAUUAUACAUAUCAUUGCAUUCUAACUUAACAGUAAUACCGGAAUAAUAGGGGAGAGAAGACAAGUGGGAAAUAAACACAAGACAAGGUAGAAAUCUUUAACCGAUCACAAUAGCAACAUCAACUUAACACUUCUCAGCAUAUGAAGGAUAAAAUAAGAAUAUACCUCGUCUUACUGUUGUAUCUGACCCUUCAGAGAGUUAAACAUGACAUUUGCUGUAGUCGUUCUUUGACAUUGUAAGAGAGAGUUCCCUCUUCACUGCUUCUCCCCCUGCCAUGAGUCAUCUCCGCACGCUGCUGUGCGCUAUAUGAAAUUGAUUCUACUCCCCUCCUGAUUUGGACGAGCUUGGUUGACUUGGCUAUAGAUGGAUUGCCAUACAGCAAACAUCAUUUCUCUCCGUCAUUCCAUCAAACACCUCCCGAGCACAAUCCACAUACCUAUUUUUUGAACAACGCGAUGAGGAAAGUGACAAGCCCAGGAAGAACAUUGACACGAGCACCAGUCUCGACACACAGCUUCUUGACAGUCUCUCCUCUCUUGCCAAUGAUAGUAUAUAAAUAUGAUUGUUGGUUGGAAAUAAACAAGAUUAGAUCUUGGUUUUAUUGAAAAACUAGUAAAAUAAUAGAGGGAAUGAGAGAGCGAAUGAGUUAAUUGAUGAUGAAAAGAUGGUUGUUGUAGUUUAAGUUUCCGG
rnacentral:lncRNA from 1 species